rnacentral:rRNA from 1 species
GAUGAACGCUGGCGGCGUGCCUAAUACAUGCAAGUCGAGCGAACAGACGAGGAGCUUGCUCCUCUGACGUUAGCGGCGGACGGGUGAGUAACACGUGGAUAACCUACCUAUAAGACUGGGAUAACUUCGGGAAACCGGAGCUAAUACCGGAUAAUAUAUUGAACCGCAUGGUUCAAUAGUGAAAGACGGUUUUGCUGUCACUUAUAGAUGGAUCCGCGCCGCAUUAGCUAGUUGGUAAGGUAACGGCUUACCAAGGCAAGGAUGCGUAGCCGACCUGAGAGGGUGAUCGGCCACACGGGAACGGAGACACGGUCCAGACUACUACGGGAGGGAGCAGUAGGGAAUCUUACGCAAUGGGCGAAAGCCUGACGGAGCAACGCCGCGUGAGUGAUGAAGGUCUUCGGAUCGUAAAACUCUGUUAUUAGGGAAGAACAAAUGUGUAAGUAACUAUGCACGUCUUGACGGUACCUAAUCAGAAAGCCACGGCUAACUACGUG